rnacentral:rRNA from 1 species
GUGGAUUAGAUACCCCGGUAGUCCACGCCGUAAACGAUGUCUACUAGCCGUUGGGGUCCUUGAGGCCUUAGUGGCGCAGCUAACGCACUAAGUAGACCGCCUGGGGAGUACGGUCGCAAGAUUAAAACUCAAAUGAAUUGACGGGGGCCCGCACAAGCGGUGGAGCAUGUGGUUUAAUUCGACGCAACGCGAAGAACCUUACCAGGUCUUGACAUACAGAGAACUUUCCAGAGAUGGAUUGGUGCCUUCGGGAACUCUGAUACAGGUGCUGCACGGCCGUCGACAGCU